UUCUGCGAAAGCAUCUGCCAAGGAUGUUUUCAUUAAUCAAGAACGAAAGUUAGGGGAUCGAAGACGAUCAGAUACCGUCGUAGUCUUNACCAUAAACGAUGCCGACCANCGAUUAGNUGACGUUGAAUACAAAACACCACCAUCGGUGCGGUCGUCCNUGGCGUCUCGGUCCUUCACGGGGCCGGGGCGCGGGGGCGGCUUAGCCCGGUGGCACCGGUGAAUGACUCCCCUAGCAGCUUGUGAGAAAUCAUAAGUCUUUGGGUUCCGGGGGGAGUAUGGUCGCAAGGCUGAAACUUAAAG
rnacentral:rRNA from 1 species